AUAAAAUCCAAUAGUAUCCCAUCACCUUUUCCCAAUCACUGGACGACACACAGUAUCAGGAGUAGAACUGAAGUUUAAUGGCAACAUUCCUGCUUUUAUGAGAUUCUCCCAUGCAAGAGAGGGACUCAUCAUAAUUAGUACAGUAACCAAUCCCAUAGAUGUUACCUCCCACACAUCUCCUCCCCUUAGAUUAACAGUUAACAUAAUUAUACAGUGC